GACAGAGGGUGCAAACGUUGUUCGGAAUUACUGGGCGUAAAGCGAGUGUAGGCGGUUCGCUAAGUCGGGUGUGAAAGCCCCGGGCUCAACCCGGGAAGUGCACUCGAAACUGGCAGGCUAGAGUAUCGGAGAGGUUGGUGGAAUUCUCGGUGUAGAGGUGAAAUUCGUAAGAUAUCGAGAGGAACACCGGUGGCGAAGGCGGCCAACUGGACGAAUACUGACGCUGAGACUCGAAAGCGUGGGAAGC
rnacentral:rRNA from 1 species